AGCGAGCCGAGCCCCGCCCGAAAUUGUGCCCAAUUUCUAUCCCUACCAGAAUCAUCCGUCAGCUGCUCGUCUGCUCUUGCCGCUGCCGCCGCCGCCGUUGGAAACGGCGCCGAUCCGGCCUCCUCCGAGGAUGCGCGACCGGUAAGUCUUCCACCGUAAGAACACCGAAGGUCGUGGCCGCUACAUGCGGCAGCCUCUUCGUCGGUGCUGUACCAGGUGAGCCUGCGCGCAAGGACAACGAUCCUCAUGUGUUUUAUAUUAUUCUGAUUUGGAGAUAAUUAUCGCGAUUUUGCUGCCGUAAUAUUUCAAGCGGACACGGAUCAAGGAGACGAGGACAUUGCUGCCGCUGGGCAUGAGACACUGUUAAGCUGGUUUCCUAGAUUCUAUUUGUCGUUCCUUUGUUCUAAUUAAACACAGAGUGGUGAUUUCAUUCAUACAUUUCGUUCCUGUGUUCUAAUUAGACACGGAUAGCGAUGUAGGAGGCAGCUGAAGACAGAGUAGGGAUUUGGUGAGUUCAUCCCCUGUCCCGAUCCAGUGGAUUACUUUAUCAGGGUUGUAUUAAAACAUACACCAUUCUGAUCGAUUGUGUAGUAAAACGUGGAUUCGUAUUACACAAUUAUUGUAACUUUUUUUUAUCGUGAAUCAUGAUCAGUACUGCAUACGAGCCAAUUUGCUUCCAGUCCUAUAGUCUAAUUAUAUUGUCAAUUAUGGAUCAGUCUAUUCGCUUCGAUGUGACUCCCUCAGGACGCGACCUCGAUUCAGCACCGGAUCCGCAUCAUCCGUGCACCCCUCUCAUCCUUUGGCAGUUGAUGGAUCUCCGUCUCGGUGCAUGUGCAUAGGAGAUGUGAAGUUUCCUGUUCAAUCCAUGUUUCUGAAAGUCGAUCUUAACAGGUUCCAUUAAUUUGGUUGGUUGGUCAGGAUUUUGGUAGCUGUAGGUUCAGUGUUCAUGGCUUAGUCGGUUUUAGUGCUCUCCUUCAGGUAUCAGCAGAGAAGUUUGGGAGCAGAGAACUAUUAAGAUAUGGAUGGCCCAACCUCCCUCAUUGGAUAUGUUUUGGUUUGUUUAAUACAUUGUCCUAAUUUCGUGGGAUGUUUACAAAAUUUCCACUGUUACAAUUGUGUAGUUGUAAUUCUGUUCUGAUUUUCGUAGCCAAAAAGAAAUUGUCACUCGCUGUUUCAUGGUAGUUUUGUCAUGAUGAAUAUGUCAUAAAUCAAUGAAGGUCCCACAUGUAAGUUUAAGCUGAUAAAUAGGGCAAUAAAAUAAAAUGAAAAACGUGCUCCUCCGUGGGUCAAUCCUGUUACCGAUUGAAUGGGAAUUUAUUACCACAACCGGGUCCCACGUGUAAGUUUUAGGUGAGUUGGUGGUAGAAGUUUUGGUAAGUUAUGUUAGUCUGAGAUAAAAAAGGAAGGAAAAUUAAAAAGAAUGAGUGUCCAUAGCAAGGCUCGAACCUGUGACCUCUUGAUUGUGAUGAGACAACACUACCAUUGAGACAUGAACUAUGUAUAAUUUUUAGAUAGGAUAAAUUUUAUAUAUCUUGCUUCUAAUAAGUGUGGUCCACAUGCCAGUUGCAGGCUCAAGCAUCGGCUAGAUAUUUCUCAUUUCUCUACAUGACAUACACUACUACAAGAGACUCAUCGGCACCACGCUCUUGUUGGUUGUGGCAAAUACUAGAGCUAGCAGGAAUGGCGGCUCCUAGCAGCGACGGGAGGAGGAGAUACGGUCAGCUUCCAAAUGAACCUGGAGUCAUUGAGAGUAUUAAAUCGCCGCCGCAUGAUGUUAUCGUUGUGCAUCCUGAAAAUAAGUGCGAGCAUGGGUUUCCUCUCCAUAUGAAGUAUGAUUGGAUAUUUGACAACCCUAUGCGUCGGUAUGCAUCCUGCUGCGAGGUAAACGAUAACUUAUUUCAAUUCUAAUAAACUAACCUUGCUUGUACUCUUGAUGUUAGUGUUGUAAAUAGCAAAUUGCAUGAACAUAAUCAGUGUCUGUAGCCUGAAGGGGUUAAAUGCGUGGUGUUUAAGUGGGUUGAUCCUGAAUGGGAUGCUAGGACUAAAGGUAUUCUAGUCAAGCUGAUGAAGAUGAAGGAAAAAGCUGAAGAGGAAGCAAGGUCGUGGGAAGAAGAAUGGAGAAUUGCUAAGAAGGAGGCCAAUAACAAAAUCUAUAAGAUUCACAUGAUGAAGCGAUGAUACUUUAGGGAUACAACCAAUGAGCUGAUGAACACGACGAAGAAAAUUAGACACGAUGUAGUGAUGUCUCACCUAAAAAUGGGAAAUGAUAAAAGGAAUCUGAAAGCUGAAAAUGAUGUAAGGAUGUGGAAGGAAGAAUGCGCAAAGGCUAAUAUGGAGCUUGAAGUGACUGCCGCUAAGCUGUAGAAGGUGAAGGGACACCUGGAUCAAGCCACCAAUGUGGUGAAGAAGGUCAAGCAAUCGCUGCUGUAGGUCUCAUAUAGAAAGUCAUUCAGGGAUGAUGAUAAGGCAUAAUGUGAUGUUUGGUGUUAUUGCUAUGUAGCCGGUUGAGAGGUGGGAUCAUGCUUGUAUUUUGGUAGCUAAUGAUACUAUCUAGCAAAUUAUGAUAGCUAUUAA